AAGCGUAAUUAGAAUGGCUGAUUCAGCUGAUCGAGGAAGGAGACGUAAAAAGCGUUUAAUAAUACCUCCUAUGAAGCCAGGAGGACGAGAGAGAGAAUCAGAACAAGAUAAUCCACAACCAGGAAAAACUUUGGUUAUACUUGCUAAGCCCCAUCAUGACGAUCAACCACAUUCUGAAAGUGCUUCUAAGCCUAAUGAAGGAACUGGAAAGAGUCCAGCACGUACACCUGAAAUCAAAGCUCCAACAGUGCUACUAAAAACCCGAGAUGGUAAUGAAAAAGAAGGUAGUCGUUCUUCUUCACCAGGAAAUGUGACAUCCCAUUCCACGACAGCAGUGUCUCAUUCUUCUAGAGAUGUGUGCAGUAGCACUGCAGGUUCCUGUCCUGCCUCAAGUGUGGGUCAACAGCCAGUCUAUCAGAUUCAGCAGAAGUCGGGUCACAUUACCGGUGAUGAUCAGAAACUCUCCUUGCUACCAGAAAUGUCAACUCCAGUAAAACUCGUUGAUGGGGAGAACUUGCAGUGGUGUGAUAAUGCCAUGGAAUUUCUAGUGGACCAAACAAACUUCUAUGUCGUGGGUAUUCUAGGCCUACAAGGUUCAGGAAAAUCAACUGUGAUGUCACUUUUGGCUGGACAACUUGGGGAAAUUACGGGAAGACAGUUGUUUAAACCUGAGACCAGAGAACUCAGAGAAAGAGGAGAACACUGUACUUCAGGAAUAGAUAUUUAUGUAACCAGUGAACGUAUGAUUUUGUUGGAUACGCAGCCUUUACUUAGUGCUUCAGUAAUGGAUCACAUGGUUCAGUUUGAGAAAAAAAUCCCUUGUGGAACAGAUUAUAGAGCAACUGAAAAUGCUCUCCAAAUUCAGUCGUUACAGAUAACUGCUUUUCUCUUGACUGUUUGUCACACGGUCAUUCUUGUGCAAGAUUGGUUCACCGAUCCCAAUCUUCUCAGGUUCAUUCAGUCUGCUGAGAUGUUAAAGCCAGCAACACCAACAAACCCUCACGAGUUAUCUGCUUCCAUAGAAGAUACUACGGACUACUAUCCCCACCUAGAACAAAUGCCAGCGGGGAGAUUUUUCACCUUCCACGGUGUGCGACAUGGAGGAACUUUUGUUAAACGUCUUUCAGAAUUCAAAACUGAAACACACAGGGUCAGUCUGGAUGGAGUUUAUUCCCAUCAAAGAUGAAAGUUUGCACAUGGAAGUAGCUAAUUUAUUUCUUUUACCCGAGAGAGAAGCAGAAGAAAAAGGUGUUUUACCCAACUAUAGAGGUCACCCAGGAUUCAACAGCUUGGGAAGGUCCUUAACCCAACAGUUAAUGUCGGUGCCACGCAGUACUCUAACACACACUGCUUUGUCUGAGAAAA
rnacentral:misc_RNA from 1 species